UAGGGAAUCUUCGGCAAUGGACGGAAGUCUGACCGAGCAACGCCGCGUGAGUGAAGAAGGUUUUCGGAUCGUAAAGCUCUGUUGUAAGAGAAGGACGAGUGUGAGAGUGGAAAGUUCACACUGUGACGGUAUCUUACCAGAAAGGGACGGCUAACUACGUGCCAGNNCCCGCUAAUAAUUAGGUGUUCCCGAGCGUGUCCCGGAUUUAUUGGGCGUAAAGCGAGCGCAGGCGGUUAGAUAAGUUUGAAGUUAAAGGCUGUGGGUUAACCANNGUNCGCUGNGAAACUGUUUAACUUGAGUGCAAGAGGGGAGAGUGGAAUUCCAUGUGUAGCGGUGAAAUGCGUAGAUAUAUGGAGGAACACCGGUGGCGAAGGCGGCUCUCUGGCUUGUAACUGACGCUGAGGCUCGAAAGCGUGGGGAGCAAACAGGAUUAGAUACCCUGGUAGUCCACGCCGUAAACGAUGAGUGCUAGGUGUUAGACCCUUUCCGGGGUUUAGUGCCGCAGCUAACGCAUUAAGCACUCCGCCUGGGGAGUACGACCGCAAGGUUG
rnacentral:rRNA from 1 species